UCAAACAUUGUGAUCGAUAGGUAGAAUAAGUAUUGUAAGAGAAAUCUAGUAUUUGUUAAUUUAUCCGAACUUGUAUGGAUUUCGUGGCCCUUGAAAUGUGGGCUUACUAAUCUCGGUAACAUGGAUGCCGCCACAAAUUGUGCUUCUCAUUGUCUUGUGAAUUGUAGGAGGGCACACUGCGAAUAAAACGCGCGCAACCUACACGGCGCAAGCCGCCCCUGAA